CAACUCCCAAACCCAAUGUGAACGUUACCAAACUGUUGCCUCGGCGGGAUCUCUGCCCCGGGUGCGUCGCAGCCCCGGACCAAGGCGCCCGCCGGAGGACCAACCUAAAACUCUUAUUGUAUACCCCCUCGCGGGUUUUUUUAUAAUCUGAGCCUUCUCGGCGCCUCUCGUAGGCGUUUCGAAAAUGAAUCAAAACUUUCAACAACGGAUCUCUUGGUUCUGGCAUCGAUGAAGAACGCAGCGAAAUGCGAUAAGUAAUGUGAAUUGCAGAAUUCAGUGAAUCAUCGAAUCUUUGAACGCACAUUGCGCCCGCCAGUAUUCUGGCGGGCAUGCCUGUCCGAGCGUCAUUUCAACCCUCGAACCCCUCCGGGGGGUCGGCGUUGGGGAUCGGCCCUCCCUUAGCGGGUGGCCGUCUCCGAAAUACAGUGGCGGUCUCGCCGCAGCCUCUCCUGCGCAGUAGUUUGCACACUCGCAUCGGGAGCGCGGCGCGUCCACAGCCGUUAAACACCCAACUUCUGAAAUGUUGACCUCGGAUCAGGUAGGAAUACCCGCUGAACUUAAGCAU
rnacentral:rRNA from 1 species